rnacentral:rRNA from 1 species
ACACAACAUAAGCGGAGGAAAAGAAACUAACAAGGAUUCCCCUAGUAACUGCGAGUGAAGCGGGAAAAGCUCAAAUUUAAAAUCUGGUGGUCUUUGGCCAUCCGAGUUGUAAUCUAGAGAAGUGUUACCCGCGUCGGACCGUGUACAAGUCUCCUGGAAUGGAGCGUCAUAGAGGGUGAGAAUCCCGUCUUUGACACGGACCCCCGAUGCUUUGUGGUGCGCUCUCAACGAGUCGAGUUGUUUGGGAAUGCAGCUCAAAAUGGGUGGUAAAUUCCAUCUAAAGCUAAAUAUUGGCGAGAGACCGAUAGCGAACAAGUACCGUGAGGGAAAGAUGAAAAGAACUUUGGAAAGAGAGUUAAACAGUACGUGAAAUUGCUGAAAGGGAAACGCUUGAAGUCAGUCGCGUUGGCCGGAAAUCAGCCUUCCUUUUGGUUGGUGUACUUUCUGGUUGACGGGCCAGCAUCAGUUUUGACCGGUGGAAAAAGUUGUAGGGAAUGUGGCAUCUUCGGGUGUGUUAUAGCCUUGCUUCGUAUACAUCGGUUGGGACUGAGGAACUCAGCACGCCGCAAGGCCGGGGUUCGCCCACGUUCGUGCUUAGGAUGCUGGCAUAAUGGCUUUAAUCGACCCGUCUUGAAACACGGACCAAGGAGUCUAACAUGCCUGCGAGUGUUUGGGUGGAAAACCCGAGCGCGUAAUGAAAGUGAAAGUCGAGAUCCUUGUCAUGGGGAGCAUCGACGCCCGGACCAGACGUUUUCUGACGGUUCUGCGGUAGAGCAUGUAUGUUGGGACCCGAAAGAUGGUGAACUAUGCCUGAAUAGGGUGAAGCCAGAGGAAACUCUGGUGGAGGCUCGUAGCGAUUCUGACGUGCAAAUCGAUCGUCAAAUUUGGGUAUAGGGGCGAAAGACUAAUCGAACCAUCUAGUAGCUGGUCCUGCGUG